GAAAGUAAGCAAGGGCAGACGGUGGAUGCCUUGGCUCUCGGAGGCGACGAAGGACGUGAUAAGCUGCGAAAAGCCCGGGGGAGGCGCAAAUAGCCGUUGAUCCCGGGAUAUCCGAAUGGGGCAACCCGGCAGGCUGAAGGCCUGUCAUCCCGAAAGGGAGGCGAACGUGGGGAACUGAAACAUCUAAGUACCCAUAGGAGGAGAAAAUAAACAAUGAUUCCGUAAGUAGUGGCGAGCGAACACGGAAGAGCCCAAACCCAUGUCGUCUAGGCGACACGGGGGUUGUAGGACCACGACGUGGCAAGAUAGAGUCAAGUGGAACGCCUUGGAAAAGGCGGUCAUAGAGGGUGAAAACCCCGUACACGACUGACGAUUGAAGCCUAGUGGCAUCCUGAGUAGCGCGGGGCACGAGAAAUCUUGCGUGAAUUAGCGGGGCCCAUCCCGUAAGGCUAAAUACUCCCGAGAGACCGAUAGCGAACCAGUACCGUGAGGGAAAGGUGAAAAGAACCCCGAGCAGGGGAGUGAAAUAGACCCUGAACCCGUCUGCCUACAAGCGGUCGGAGCGUCGUAAUGACGUGACGGCGUGCCUUUUGCAUAAUGAACCUACGAGUUACCUUCCCCGGCAAGGUUAAGUUCUUGAGGAACGGAGCCGAAGCGAAAGCGAGUCUGAACAGGGCGCCAAGUCGGGGGGGGUAGACGCGAAACCGAGUGAUCUACCCUUGGCCAGGUUGAAGGUUGGGUAACACCAACUGGAGGACCGGAUGGGUAAGCGUUGAAAAGCUUUCCAAUGAGCUGAGGGUAGGGGUGAAAGGCUAAUCAAACUCGGAGAUAGCUCGUACUCCCCGAAAUGCAUUUAGGUGCAGCCUCUUUAUAGUAUAUCGUGAGGUAGAGCGACUGAUUGGAUGCGAGGGCUUCACCGCCUAUCAAGUCCAGAUAAACUCCGAAUGCGCGAUAUAUAUUUACAGGGAGUGAGGGCGCGGGUGCUAAGGUCCGUGUCCGAGAGGAGAAGAAUCCAGACCACCGGCUAAGGCCCCCAAAUGAUCGUUAAGUUGAACUAACGAGGUCGGAUCGCAGAGACAGCUAGGAUGUUGGCUUGGAAGCAGCCAUUCAUUUAAAGAGUGCGUAACAGCUCACUAGUCGAGCGAUCUGGCGUGGAUAAUAAUCGGGCAUAAACGAUCUGCCGAAGCCGUGGAUGUCGCAAGACAUGGUAGGGGAGCAUUCCAUGCCGCGUCGAAGAUAAGGGAUGACCCUUGUUGGAGCGCAUGGAAAAGCAAAUGUAGGUAUGAGUAACGAUAAGGGGGGCGAGAAACCCCCCCGCCGAAAGACCAAGGUUUCCUGAUCAACGCUAAUCGGAUCAGGGUGAGUCGGGACCUAAGGCAAAGCCGAACGGCGCCGCCGAUGGAAGAAUGGGUUAAUAUUCCCAUACUGCCUCAUGGAGUGACGUGGAGACGGAGAAGUGACAGUCCUGCCGGCUGACGGAAUAGCCGGUUGAAGGGUGUAGAUAUUGAUUCCCGUAGGCAAAUCCGCGGGGAGAGUCGAACCUGAGAGUAUACGGAGCGCUUGCGCAACGUAAUAUGGACGUAACCAUGCUCCCGAGAAAAUCCGCUAAACUUAUCCAUGCGGCACCCGUACCGUAAACGGACACACGUGGUCGGGUUGAGAAUACUGAGGCGCUCGAGUGAUUCACGGUUAAGGAACUAGGCAAAUUGACCCUGUAACUUCGGGAUAAAGGGUCCUCGUCGUAAGGCGAGGCGCAGAGAAUAGGUCCAGGCAACUGUUUAACAAAAACACAUGGCUGUGCUAAAUGGAAACAUGAUGUAUACAGCCUGACACCUGCCCGGUGCCGGAAGGUUAAGAGGAGAUGUCAUCCGCGAGGAGAAGCGUUGAAUUGAAGCCCCGGUAAACGGCGGCCGUAACUAUAACGGUCCUAAGGUAGCGAAAUUCCUUGUCGGGUAAGUUCCGACCUGCACGAAUGG
rnacentral:rRNA from 1 species